rnacentral:rRNA from 1 species
GACGAACGCUGGCGGCGUGCUUAACACAUGCAAGUCGAACGGAAAGGCCCUGCUUUUGUGGGGUGCUCGAGUGGCGAACGGGUGAGUAACACGUGAGUAACCUGCCCUUGACUUUGGGAUAACUUCAGGAAACUGGGGCUAAUACCGGAUAGGAGCUCCUGCUGCAUGGUGGGGGUUGGAAAGUUUCGGCGGUUGGGGAUGGACUCGCGGCUUAUCAGCUUGUUGGUGGGGUAGUGGCUUACCAAGGCUUUGACGGGUAGCCGGCCUGAGAGGGUGACCGGCCACAUUGGGACUGAGAUACGGCCCAGACUCCUACGGGAGGCAGCAGUGGGGAAUAUUGCACAAUGGGCGGAAGCCUGAUGCAGCAACGCCGCGUGCGGGAUGACGGCCUUCGGGUUGUAAACCGCUUUCGCCUGUGACGAAGCGUGAGUGACGGUAAUGGGUAAAGAAGCACCGGCUAACUACGUGCCAGCAGCCGCGGUGAUACGUAGGGUGCGAGCGUUGUCCGGAUUUAUUGGGCGUAAAGGGCUCGUAGGUGGUUGAUCGCGUCGGAAGUGUAAUCUUGGGGCUUAACCCUGAGCGUGCUUUCGAUACGGGUUGACUUGAGGAAGGUAGGGGAGAAUGGAAUUCCUGGUAGAGCGGUGGAAUGCGCAGAUAUCAGGAGGAACACCAGUGGCGAAGGCGGUUCUCUGGGCCUUUCCUGACGCUGAGGAGCGAAAGCGUGGGGAGCGAACAGGCUUAGAUACCCUGGUAGUCCACGCUGUAAACGGUGGGUACUAGGUGUGGGGUCCAUUCCACGGGUUCCGUGCCGUAGCUAACGCUUUAAGUACCCCGCCUGGGGAGUACGGCCGCAAGGCUAAAACUCAAAGGAAUUGACGGGGCCCCGCACAAGCGGCGGAGCAUGCGGAUUAAUUCGAUGCAACGCGUAGAACCUUACCUGGGUUUGACAUGGAUCGGGAGUGCUCAGAGAUGGGUGUGCCUCUUUUGGGGUCGGUUCACAGGUGGUGCAUGGCUGUCGUCAGCUCGUGUCGUGAGAUGUUGGGUUAAGUCCCGCAACGAGCGCAACCCUUGUUCACUGUUGCCAGCACGUUAUGGUGGGGACUCAGUGGAGACCGCCGGGGUCAACUCGGAGGAAGGUGGGGAUGACGUCAAGUCAUCAUGCCCCUUAUGUCCAGGGCUUCACGCAUGCUACAAUGGCUGGUACAGAGAGUGGCGAGCCUGUGAGGGUGAGCGAAUCUCGGAAAGCCGGUCUCAGUUCGGAUUGGGGUCUGCAACUCGACCUCAUGAAGUCGGAGUCGCUAGUAAUCGCAGAUCAGCAACGCUGCGGUGAAUACGUUCCCGGGGCU